rnacentral:lncRNA from 1 species
GGGUGAUAGGGUAUCCUGGUGGUGGGGUCUGUGGGUGGAGGGGUCUCCAGGUGUCCACGUGGCAGGGUGUCUGGGUGGAGGGUUUUCCAGGUGGUGGGGUAACUGGGUGUCUUGGUGUCUGGGGAACAGGGUAUCUGGGUAUCCAAGUGGCAGGGUGUCUAGGUGGUGGGGUGGCUGAGUGCCCAGGUGUCCAAGUGGCUGAGUGGCAGGGUGUCCAGGUGUCUGGGUGGUGGGGUGUCCGGCUAUCUUGGUGUCAAGUGUCUGUGUGUCUUGGUGUCAGGUGUCUGGGUGUCCGGGUGUCCAGGUUUCUGGGUGUCAGGUGUCUGGGUGUCAGGUGUCUGGGUGUCAGCUGUCUGGGUGUCUGGGUGUCUGGAUGUCAGGUGGCUGGGUGUCUGGGUAUCUAGUGUUUGGGUGUCUGGGUGUCCAGGUUUCUUGGUGUCAGGUGUCUGGGUGUCCAAGUGUCCAGGUGUCAGGUGUCUGGGUGUCAGGUGU